rnacentral:rRNA from 1 species
UACGUAGGGCGCAAGCGUUGUCCGGAAUUACUGGGCGUAAAGGGCGCGUAGGCGGAAUGGCAAGUCGGUCGUGAAAUCCUUCGGCUCAACCGAAGAACGUCGAUCGAAACUGCCGUUCUUGAGGAUUGCAGAGGAGACUGGAAUUCCUGAGUGUAGGCGGGUGAAAUGCGUACGAGAUUAGGAAGGAACACCGUGUCGGAAGGCGA